AAAUUGUCAGUUCCUCUCUACCCACCGCAACCCGUAGAUAGCACCAUAUCUAAGUAGGCCCCUGGAUGCGCACUUAGGUAACUUAGCUCGGACAAGAACAAUGUAAAUUGAAAGAAACUAGUAGGUGCAUGCUCUGGAGCAACGUAGAAUUUAUAGUAGCCCUCUCGUAGAUAAACUUCAAUAUAAAUCCAGCCUUCACCAUCAUCAUAGAUACGACAUAGUUUUAGCGGUUCACAGUCCGGAUCCGAAAGGAGUUCCCUCGGUGCACAGUGUCCCACCACUGUCACCAAUUUGUUACGUCUCUGGUUCUAUAGUAGAAUUUUAAUACUAUUGUAGUCGGACACUGAUUCGCUGGUGGGGGUUUCCUCUUCUUUUUGGUUAAAACCAAUGGAAAUGCUGACGUCAUGGGAUUUUGCGAUCGUUUACCCAAUAGUAAAAUAGUUCAUUUUACUCCGCCUACAGGACGUGACUCAUAAUGUGAUUCAUUCGAUAAUUGAAACAUAAAAUAUUAAAAAUUUGAGUAUAGCCGACGACGCUAAGUCCACAAACUAGCUCCAGAGAACAACAGUUACUGGACAUUUGCACAGAGAAGAAAACCGUAAUGGCAGCAACAAUUGCAGCGGUGAUGAAAGUGUCUAUAAGUCGACCAGGGAGGGAAGGGUAGCGGACUCAGGUACGGACAAGCAACGUGGAAGACCCUCAAACUUACAGCGCCUCAACAAGCUAGGCAACGCGGGGUCGAACAGAAGUCUGAAUGAAUGGCAAAAAAUGGCAAGCGCGACUAGCAGUGAAGGGGAGGAAAAAGAAAAAGAGAGGCAGGGGACGAUGAGGUAGAAAGGGACAAGGAUAAGAAGAGAGUUAGAGUUAAGGGCAUGCUCUUCAGUGACCACGUGACCAAACUAGUCCCCGGGUAUGAACAUUUUUUUUGGUGUUCACUGCGUCCACACGAAUUGAGAUAUC